rnacentral:rRNA from 1 species
CCCGGGCGCCCAACCUCCCACCCGUGACUACCUAACACUGUUGCUUCGGCGGGGAGCCCUCUCGGGGGCGAGCCGCCGGGGACUACUGAACUUCAUGCCUGAGAGUGAUGCAGUCUGAGUCUGAAUAUAAAAUCAGUCAAAACUUUCAACAAUGGAUCUCUUGGUUCCGGCAUCGAUGAAGAACGCAGCGAACUGCGAUAAGUAAUGUGAAUUGCAGAAUUCAGUGAAUCAUCGAGUCUUUGAACGCACAUUGCGCCCCCUGGCAUUCCGGGGGGCAUGCCUGUCCGAGCGUCAUUGCUGCCCAUCAAGCCCGGCUUGUGUGUUGGGUCGUCGUCCCCCCCGGGGGACGGGCCCGAAAGGCAGCGGCGGCACCGUGUCCGGUCCUCGAGCGUAUGGGGCUUUGUCACCCGCUCGAUUAGGGCCGGCCGGGCGCCAGCCGACGUCUCCAACCAUUUUCUUCAGGUUGACCUCGGAUCAGGUAGGGAUACCCGCUGAACUUAAGCAUAUCAAAAGCCGGAGGAA